rnacentral:rRNA from 1 species
CUGGCGGCAUGGAUUAGGCAUGCAAGUCGAACGAAGCAGCAAUGCUUAGUGGCGCAAGGGUGAGGAACACGUGAGUGACCUACCCGCAAGUUUGGAACAGCUCCUGGAAACGGGAAUUAAUACCGGAUGUGAUCGAUGAACUGCAUGGUUUAUUGAUUAAAGCAGCGAUGCGCUUGCGGAUGGGCUCGCGUCCCAUUAGCUAGUUGGUGAGGUAACGGCCCACCAAGGCCAUGAUGGGUAGCUGGUCUGAGAGGACGACCAGCCACACUGGGACUGAGAACUGCCCAGACUCCUACGGGAGGCUGCAGUCGAGAAUUUUGGGCAAUGGACGAAAGUCUGAACCCCCAGCAAUGCCGCGUGCGGGAUGAAGGUCUUCGGAUUGUAAACCGCUGUUUGGAGGGACGAAAAUUGACGGUACUUCCAGAGGAAGCCACGGCUAACUACGUGCCAGCAGCUGC